rnacentral:rRNA from 1 species
AUGGACUCCCCGCAAAAAAGGGCUGGAUCCACCAUGGACUCCACCGCGGCGAAGAAGGCGACGGCCUCUCCUCCGACUCCGUUCCCGAAUGCUGUCCGGCUGGUCAGCAUUUGGGCGCUCUCCACCGCCUGCUUCUUCCUUGUCUCCUUCGCAAUCUCCUACGCAGUCGUCUACGCACUCGACCAGUGCGUCUGCGCCGAGCCGACAGACGCGGACGGCGACGACUGCAUCGCGCUGGUGUACUUGCCUGCGGCUCAGGCGGCCGCGGCGGCGCUGGCGCUGCUGCUCCCAGGCCGCCACCGCCGUGCCCUCGCGUGCCUCGCGCUCGCGGUCGCCAUCGUCGGCCAUUAUAUGUUCGUCGCCGGCGCCCUUCGGUUGCUCUUCGCCCCCGUCGCCGACCCUGGGCAAGGAUACAUGGUCGCCCUCGACAUCCUUGUCAGGGUCGGCUGGGUCGUGGGCAUCGUCAUCUUUCCGGCGGGCGACCUCGUCAGUUUCCUCUUCCUGGCCCUCUCCUUCUGCGCUUCUGGGAGGUGA